rnacentral:rRNA from 1 species
CCUACGGGUGGCAGCAGUGGGGAAUAUUGGGCAAUGGACGCAAGCCUGACCCAGCAACGCCGCGUGAAGGAAGAAGGCUUUCGGGAUGUAAACUUCUAUUAAGGGGGAAGAGCAGAAGACGGUAUACCUUGAAUGAGCCACGGCUAACUACGCGCGAGCAGCCGCGGUAAUACGGAGGUGGCACGCGUUGUCCGGUUGUACUGGGUGUAAAGGGCGUGCAGCCGGAGGGACAAGUCAGAUGUGAAAUCCAGGGGCUCAACCCGGGCACUGCUUUUGAAACUGUGUCGCUAGAGUGUCGGAGAGGUAAGCGGAAUUCCUUGUGUAGCGGUGAAAUGCGUAGAUAUAAGGAAGAACACCAGUGGCGAAGGCGGAUUACUGGACAAUAACUGACGGUGAGGCGCGAAAGCGUGGGGAGCAAACAGGAUUAGAUACCCUAGUAGUC